AGAGGCAGGUGGAUAUCUUCAAUCCAGGCCAGCCUGGUCUACAGAGUGAGUCCAGGAUGGUCAGAGUUUCUCUGUCCCACCUCCCCAAAUUUUUAAUUAUGCAUAUGUGUGUGAGGGUGUUGAAUCCCCUGGAAUUAGACUUAUAGUUGUGAAUUGACAUAUGGGUGCUGGGAAUUGAGCCAGUGCUCUUAACCUCUGAGCCAUCUGUUCCAGCUCCUUAUUAGUUUUUGGAGAAAAGAUCACCUAGUAGCCAAGGAUGACCUUGAACGCUGGAUCCUCCUGCCUACACUUCCCUAAAUGCGGGGAUUUUGGGCAUGAAUCACCGCAUCAAGAUUAAAUGGUGCUAGGACUCAAAGCCAGGAUUUCACGCACGCUCCCCCAAGCAGUCUACCUAAAGAGCUACAACCACAGGCAGCGCGUCUUCUGGCCUAACCUGAAGUUCACAAACGCCGAGAUAGACCGAACUCUCUAAGGGGAGCUGACCGAUGCAGCGAACACAGAGUUUAAUUCUGAGGAGAUUUUUCUUCUCAGGCGUCCAACGUCACUUAACGUCACGCUAGUGAGCGAAGGCGGUAGGACGACGAAGGCCAGCCCAGGCCUCUGCUCCACGCCUAACAGUCGCCAGGCAGUCGCGCCGUUCCCAAGCGGGCCUCUCUAGCCGGCGGGAGACAGCGAGCGGAGCCGUUACGGGAGCGCCGAAGAGCCAGCUCGCGUCACACGAAGGAGCGAACGCGCAAACCUCCGCCGACGCGCCUCCUCGAGGCCCCGCCCACUCGCCUUCCACAACCCGCUGGCGGCCCGGAGGAGGCGGAGUCUAGGAGGAACAGGCGCAUGCGCCCUCGCAACCCGGCCCUCGAAGGGGGAACUAGCGAUCUCGCGAGGGUUGAGAGCGGGUGGCGUAGGUCGCUGUCUGGUUGGUUGGAGAAGAUAA
rnacentral:sRNA from 1 species